AAGAAAAUGCAGAUGAAAUC
rnacentral:piRNA from 1 species